rnacentral:rRNA from 1 species
GACGAACGCUGGCGGUGUGCUUCACACAUGCAAGUCGAACGAGGUAGCAAUACCUAGUGGCGGACGGGUGAGUAACGCGUGGGAAUCUGCCUUUAGAUGGGGGAUAACGGGUCGAAAGACUCGCUAAUACCGCAUAUGACGAAAGUUGAAAGGAGUAAUCCGUCUAAAGAUGAGCCCGCGUCCGAUUAGCUAGUUGGUAGAGUAAAAGCCUACCAAGGCGACGAUCGGUAGCUGGUCUGAGAGGAUGAUCAGCCACAAUGGGAACUAGAGACACGGCCCAUACUCCUACGGGAGGCAGCAGUGGGAAUUUACGCAAUGGGCGAAAGCCUGACGUAGCGACACCGCGUGAGCGAAGAAGCCCCUUGGGGUGUAAAGCUCUGUCAGCUGGAACGAAAAAAAUGACGGUACCAGCAGAGGAAGCAUCGGCUAACUACGUGCCAGCAGCCGCGGUAA